AACUGAAGUGAGAGCUACAUAAGAAGCUGGUAUAGAAAUGGACAUGGGUGGCCUCCUCAAUGCACUGACAUUACAACCCAGAAGACUGCAGAAAUCAAAGAAUGGGGGUGCUCAUACUUGACACAACAGGAAACAGUUGCAGCAGAACUAAACAACAAUGCGAACAAUUUCAAAUGGAGGUGGGGAUGGAAGCCCAGCGUUAAAAGCCCGAAAAAUCCACGCAUUGGCAUCACCGUAACCAUACAGGAACAGCAGGACUCUCUGAGGUGCUGGAUGGAUGACUUGCAGUGUCUUGUGAUUAAAGUGCUUGGGGGAUCUCUUGAAAAUCAGCUUCCACAGAUGUUCAGCCUCCACAGAAUGCGUGUAAGAUUAAAUUUUCAAAAGCAUGGAAAGUGAUUCAACACAGUGGCUUUCAGCCCCCUGCUUUCUUUGCUGGUGCCAGUAUGCAUGGUCUUUCCUUCCAG